rnacentral:misc_RNA from 1 species
AAGUCGUAACAAGGUUUCCGUAGGUGAACCUGCGGAAGGAUCAUUAAAGUAUUAUUCGCACAUUAUGUCGAAUCUACCUUUUUGUGAAGCUAAUGGCUAUUCUAUUUGUAUUUGGGGAUUGAAAAUGUCGAGUACUUGCUGCUGGACGGCCCCAACAACAUCAUUAAACACUAUCAUAUCAUCACUGACAGUUAUCUCAAUUUAUAAUUGAUAAAAUAACUUUCAACAACGGAUCUCUUGGUUCUC